CCUACGGGAGGCUGCAGUGGGGAAUAUUGGACAAUGGGCGAAAGCCUGAUCCAGCCAUGCCGCGUGUGUGAAGAAGGCCUUCGGGUUGUAAAGCACUUUCAGUGGGGAAGAAAGCCUUGGGGCUAAUACCCUCGAGGAAGGACAUCACCCACAGAAGAAGCACCGGCUGACUCCGUGCCAGCAGCCGCGGUAAUACGGAGGGUGCGAGCGUUAAUCGGAAUUACUGGGCGUAAAGCGCGCGUAGGCGGUCUGAUAAGCCGGUUGUGAAAGCCCCGGGCUCAACCUGGGAACGGCAUCCGGAACUGUCAGGCUAGAGUGCAGGAGAGGAAGGUAGAAUUCCCGGUGUAGCGGUGAAAUGCGUAGAGAUCGGGAGGAAUACCAGUGGCGAAGGCGGCCUUCUGGACUGACACUGACGCUGAGGUGCGAAAGCGUGGGUAGCAAACAGGAUUAGAUACCCCAGUAGUC
rnacentral:rRNA from 1 species